rnacentral:rRNA from 1 species
GUACCAGCAGCGGCGGUAAUACGUAGGUGGCAAGCGUUGUCCGGAUUUAUUGGGCGUAAAGGGAACGCAGGCGGUCUUUUAAGUCUGAUGUGAAAGCCUUCGGCUUAACCGAAGUCGUGCAUUGGAAACUGGGAGACUUGAGUGCAGAAGAGGAGAGUGGAACUCCAUGUGUAGCGGUGAAAUGCGUAGAUAUAUGGAAGAACACCAGUGGCGAAAGCGGCUCUCUGGUCUGUAACUGACGCUGGGGUUCGAAAGCGUGGGUAGCAAACAGGAUUAGAUACCCUGGUAGUCCACGCUGUAAACGAUGAAUGCUAAGUGUUGGAGGGUUUCCGCCCUUCAGUGCCGCAGCAAACGCAUUAAGCAUUCCGCCUGGGGAGUACGACCGCAAGGUUGAAACUCAAAGGAAUUGACGGGGGCCCGCACAAGCGGUGGAGCAUGUGGUUUAAUUCGAAGCAACGCGAAGAACCUUACCAGGUCUUGACAUCUUCUGAUAACCUAAGAGAUUAGGUGUUCCCUUCGGGGACAGAAUGACAGG